rnacentral:tRNA from 1 species
GGGUAUAGCUCAGUGGUAGAGUGCCUGCUUAGCAUGCACAAGGUCCUGGGUUCAAUCUCCAGUACCUCCA